rnacentral:lncRNA from 1 species
CUCAAAAGGGGCUCUAAAUGUGUCUCAAAAUGGGCCUCAAAUGUGGCCCAAAAUGUCCCCAAAGUGUCCCCAAAUGUGGCCCAAAAUGGCUCCAAAAUAGUCCCAAAAUGGCUCCCACAAAAUGGCCGCCAUUGUGCCACAAAAUGGCCUCCUGAGUCACCAAAAUUUCCCCAAAAUGGCCCCAAAUGUGACCCCAAAUGUGUCCCAAAAUGUCCCCACAAGUGUCUGUAAGAGUGUCCCCAAAUGGCCCCAAAAUGGAGAAAAAGGGGCUCAAAAUGGCUGCCAAUGUCCUGCGGGGUCAUCAAAUAUCCACCACAAAAUGGCCGCCAGUGUGCCCCAAAAUGGCCCUAAAAUGGGCCAAAAAUGUGUCCCCAAAUAUGUCCCCAAAUGUCCUCAAUGUCCCAAACACCCCCAAUGUCUUCAAUGUCCUCAGUGUCCCCAAUGUUCUCAAGGAUCCCAGAUGUCUCCAACAUCUCCAAUGUCCCCAAAUCCCCCAAUGUCCCCAAUGUCCCCAAUCUUCUCAGUGUCCCCAAUGUCCCCAAUGUUCUCAAAAUUCUCAGAUGUCCCCAACAUCUCCAAUGUCACCAAUGUCCCCAACACCCCCAAUGUCUUCAAUGUCCCCAAUCUUCUCAGUGUCCCCAAUGUCCCCAAUGUUCUCAAAGUUCUCAGAUGUCCCCAAUGCCCCCAAUGUCCUCAGUGUCCCCAAUGUCCCCAAUGUUCUCAGUGUCCUCAAUGUUCUCAAGGAUCCCAGAUGUCUCCAACAUCUCCAAUGUCCCCCAUGUCCCAAUGUCCCCAAUGCCCCCAAUGUCCUCAGUGUCCCCAAUGUCCCCAAUGUCCCAAAUCUUCUCAGUGUCCCCAAUGUCCCCAAUGUUCUCAAAGCUCUCAGAUGUCUCCAAUGCCCCCAAUGUCCCCAAUCUUCUCAGUGUCCCCAGUGUCCCCAAUGUUCUCAAGGAUCCCAGAUGUCCCCAAUGUCCCCAAUCUUCUCAGUGUCCCCAAUGUCCCCAAUGUUCUCAAAGUUCUCAGAUGUCCCCAAUGUCCCCAACAUCCUCAAUGUCCCCAAUGUUCUCAGUGUCCCCAAUGUUCUCAAGGAUCCCAGAUGUCUCCAACAUCUCCAAUGUCCCCAACAUCCCCAAUGUCCCCAAUGUUCCUCAAUGUCCUCAGUGUCCUCAGUGUCCCCAAUGUUCCCAAUGUUCUCAAUGUUCUCAGUGUCCUCAGUGUCCCCAAUGUCCC